GAGCUUGUUAGGAAAAACGAGAACUGCUAAUUACUCGAAACAUGGUUCAAUCCCAUGACUUGCUCG
rnacentral:tRNA from 1 species